AGGGGUAUAGCCAAAUUGGCAAGGCAUCUGGUUUUGGUCCAGUGUACUGCAGGUUCGAGUCCUGCUACCCCUGCCA
rnacentral:tRNA from 1 species